CAGGUGCAGACUUUUUCCCCUGCAGGCUGUGUUCACGCCGCCAACCCCAGUCCUCUCCCUGGGAUCUGACCUCUGAAGCCCGAGCCUCAGCUCCCAGCCCCGCCUGCUCCGGCGGGUGAGCAGACAAGCCUCUCGGACUGUGGCAGCACAGCAUAGUGGUUCAGAAACACUGAUGGAUGCUGGAGCCUCAUAGCUGGCUUGAUAUCACAGCUGGACGUUACUUAACAGGACGUGUGAUGUCGGGCAGCUGCUACUUGACUCAUCUAAUCUUCAAGCAGCCCUAUGUGGAUCUUAGUUCCCUGACCAGGGAUGGAACCCAUGGCCCCUGCAUUGGAAGUGCGGAGUCUCAACCGCUGGACUGCCAGAAUUUGGAGGCCCUACCAAGAUAGCUCAACUCAUGACAGCCUACCAGAGUGAAGCAAGAACAGCUCUGAGUCAAGUUAUACCACAUCAAGUAUGACACUGAAAACGUGGAGAGGAAGUUUGGAGCCAGAGUACUGGAUUUCCCUGUAGUUUGGGCAAUUACGUCGAAUGUCCCUACCCCUGCCACUCCUGUAAGCGCCUGGAAAGGUCAUUUGAUGUUGGAAGGAUGUCAUAGGACUGGAGAAAAGAUGAUAUGAUUGUCUAUGUGGAAAACCCCAAAGAAUUGACCAAAAAACUCCUGGAACUAAUAAGAGAUUUUAGCAAGGUUGCAGGAGACGAGGUGAGUACACAAAAGUUAAUCACUUUCCUAUAUGCCAGCAAUGAACAGUGGAAUUUGAGAUUAAAAACACAAUACCAUUUACAUUGACACCCCAAAAAUGAAAUACUUAGGUAUGAAUCUAACAAAAUAUGUACAAGAUCUAUAUGAAGAAAACUACAAAACUCUGGUGAAUGAAAUCAAAGAAGAACUAAAUAAAUGGAGAGAUAAUCCACAUUCAAGGAUAGGAAGACUCAAUAUUUUUAAGAUGUCACUUCUUCCCAGCAUAAUGUAUAGAUUCAAUGCAGUCUCAAUCAAAAUCCCAGCAAGUUAUUUUGCGGAUACCGAUAAACUAAUUCUAAAGUUUACAUGGAGAGACAAAAGACCUAGAAUAGCCAACACAAUAUUGAAAGAGAACAAAUUUGGACACUACCUGACUUCAAGAUUUACUAUAAAGCUACAGGAAUCAAGACAGUGUGGCACUGGCAAAAUGAUGGACAAAUAGAUCAAUGGAACAGAAUAAAGAACUCAGAAAUAGACCCACAUAAAUAUAGUCAAUUGAUCUUUGACAAAGGAGCAAAGGCAAUACAAUAAAGAUAGUGUUCCUGCAAAGAGUGCCAGAACAACUGGGUAUCCACAUCCAAAAAAAUAAAACUAGACACAAACCUUAUACCAUUCACAAGAAUUAACUCAAAAUGGGUCACAGACUUAAAUGUAAAACAUAAAACUAUAAAGCUCCUAGAAGAUAACAUAGGAGAAACCCUAGAUGACCUUGGGUAUGGUAAUGACUUUUUAGAUACAAUACCAAAGGCACAAUCCAUGGAAGAAAUAAUUGAUAUGCUAGACAUCAUUAAAAUUAAAAAUUUCUGUUCCAUGAAAGACAAUGUUAAGAGAAUGAGAAGACAAGUCACAGACUGGGAGAAAAUACUUGCAAAAGACCCAUGUGAUAAAGGGCUAUUAUCCAAAAAUACAUACAGAAUCUUUAAAACUCAACAAUAAGAAAACAAACCUGAUUAAAAAUGGGUCAAAGAUCUUAACAGACAUCUCACCAAAGAAGAUGUACAGAUGGAAAAUAAGCAUAUGAAAAGAUACUCCACAUCGUAAGUCAUCAGGGAAAUGCAAAUUAAAACAAACUUACUGGAACGGCCAAAAUCCAGAACACUGAGAACACCAAGUGUCAGUGGAACAACAGGAAUUUUUAUUCAUUGCUGGUGGCACUGCAAAAUGGUACAGCCACUUUGGGAGACAGCUUGGAGGUUUCUUACAAAACUGAACAUAUUUUUACCAUAUGAUCCAGCAAUCACUCUCCUUGGUAUUUACCCAAAGGAGCUGAAAACUUAUGCCCACACAAAAACCUGAACAUGUAUCUUUAUAACAGCUUCAUUCAUAUUUGCCAAAACGUGUAAGCCACCAAGAUGUCCUUCAGUAAGUGAUUGUAUAAACUGUAGUGCAUCCUGACAAUGUAAUAUUCAGCACUAAAAAGAAAUGAGCUAUGAAGCCAUGAAAAGACAUGGCGGCCACUUAAAUGCAUAUUACUAGGUAAAAAAAGUCAAAUUUAAAAUGCAAAGUACUGUAUGAUUUCAACUAUAUGACAUUCUGAAAUAGGCAAAACUAUGAAGAGAGUAAAAGGGUCAGUGGUUGCCAGGAGUUGGGGGAAUGAAGAGAGGAAGCGUAGUAGAUUUUUAUGGCAAUGAAAAUACUCUGUAUGUUACCGUAAUGAUUGAUACAUAUCAUUUUACAUUUGUCCAAACCUAUAGAAUAUACAGCAUCAUGAGUGAACUGUAAUGUAAAUUAUGGACUUUGGGUGAUUAUGAUGUGUCAGUGUAAGUUCAUCAGCUGUAACAAAUGUACCACUUUGUUGGGAGAUAUUGAUAAUGGGGGCUGCUACGCAUGUGUGGGAACAGAGGAUAUAUGGGAAAUCUCUGUAUUUUUCCUCUCUCUUAGAUUUGCUGUGAACCUUAAACUGCUCUAAAAAAUAAUGUCUUCAUUUUUAAAAAUUAAUUUAAAAAGGUAAAAUCAGAUGUUCUUUCUGAUUUUAUUACAGUGUAGAAUAUGAUAUAAAAAGUAUAUACAAUGUUUAAUUUUUUUUAAAGACUGUUUUUAUAAAAAAUUUAUUUAGUUUAUUUAUUUUUGGCUGCGUUGGGUCUUCAUUGCUGUGUGCUGGCUUUCUCUAGUUGCGGCGAGCGGGGGCUACUCUUCAUUGCGGCGCGCAGGCUUCUCAUUGCGGUGGCUUCUCUUAUUGAGGGGCACAGGCUCUAGGAGCACGGGCUUCAG